GAUGAACGCUGGCGGCGUGCCUAAUACAUGCAAGUCGAGCGAACAGACGAGGAGCUUGCUCCUCUGACGUUAGCGGCUGACGGGUGAGUAACACGUGGAUAACCUACCUAUAAGACUGGGAUAACUUCGGGAAACCGGAGCUAAUACCGGAUAAUAUAUUGAACCGCAUGGUUCAAUAGUGAAAGACGGUUUUGCUGUCACUUAUAGAUGGAUCCGCGCCGCAUUAGCUAGUUGGUAAGGUAACAGCUUACCAAGGCAACGAUGCGUAGCCGACCUGAGAGGGUGAUCGGCCACACUGGAACUGAGACACGGUCCAGACUCCUACGGGAGGCAGCAGUAGGGAAUCUUCCGCAAUGGGCGAAAGCCUGACGGAGCAACGCCGCGUGAGUGAUGAAGGUCUUCGGAUCGUAAAACUCUGUUAUUAGGGAAGAACAAAUGUGUAAGUAACUAUGCACGUCUUGACGGUACCUAAUCAGAAAGCCACGGCUAACUACGUG
rnacentral:rRNA from 1 species